AGUACUGGUAACCAAUCGGGAAGCGUAAGCACAUACAGUAACACAACCCACUACCUCAAGUGAAUAGCGAGUCCCAGCAGUGGCCCUGGCUUGCCUGGGGCUACCUCAUCUGCUGCCUGCCGCAUUUCAUGUCCUCCACGCCGCGGCACAAGUAGUCAUAAGUAAUGUGGACAGGGAUGGAAUAGUCACACAGAGAGGCUAUAGGCGAUAACAUCGCCAUAUUGCCUGUCAUUGAAUUGUGGGAGACAUUGAACCGGAGGAGAAUAUUUACAAUACCCAAGACCUGUUGUGCUGUUGGUUGUCACAAGAGACAAGACAGAUAUUCAAAGAGAUCAUUCUAUGGAAUACCAGCUGAAAAAAACUAAAAAUAUCGAUGGAUUUCAGCAAUUAAACGUGAUGGAUGAUGCCCAACCAAAAUACACACACGCCUCCGUAGUGAUCGCUUCUUUUCAGAUCCAUGUCCAGCUCCAGUUGUGCAAGACGAGCGAAAGUGAGUUAACAGGCAAAUUUCUUAUUGGGUAAAACAUCGACUUCAGCAUUAAAUAUGGGUCCUCUAUGCCAAGUGUUUCCCAUUUUUCUACAUUUCUUCAUAUAUUAUCACCUUCAUUGUGCUGUAAGACAUGUUUUCGUUUCGUGUCAAUGGACUUAGCAUUGAACAAUGCUCUGUUAUAUGUUAUGUUAUAUGGCCAGUCAUGUGAUUUCGGUGAGAUACUGUAGGUGCACGAGCUCUAUACGUUUUCUAUAAGCUAUAGUGAAUAUCUUUACAUACAAAAUCCUAAUCCACCGGAACUAUGGUUCACAAUUAAUCCAUUCCAUAAAGUCAGAUGAAAUUCAAAGCAGUGUC